AACAGCCCCGGAGGUGUCGACAGCCUGAGGGAUCAUCCUCGAUUAAGCACUGUCGCUGUCCCAGAGGCCAGACUGGGAGACUCUGCGGGGAAUUCAGAUUCUGCAGGAGACCAUUCCCUGGAGGAGAGGAUGUCUGAUGUUGGUGGUACCUCUGCUGGGAUGCUACCCAAAAUACUCUGCUCACGACUCUGCUUUCCAAUCUGACUGCCGAAGGAAGGGGUUCUGCAGGGCGUCAAGUGGGAGUGCAUAAAGCGUGAGUCACCCUGUUUCAAAUAAAGCAGCUGUGGUCGCAGGGAGCCAUCCACCCUGGCUCUGGCCUCCAGACUGGGGAGAGAAUCCUCCCAGCUCCUGCCCUUGAACCAAAAGCCUCAGAGCUGCUCCAGGUCUCCUGGGUCCCAAGCAGCACUAUUCACAAUAGCGAAGACAUGGAAACACCUAAAUGUCCAUCAACAGAUGAAUGGAUUAAGAAGAUGUGGUGCCUAUACAUAAUGGAAUACUACUCAACCAUAAAAAAAGAAUGAAAUAAUGCCAUCUAGAGCAACAUGGAUGCAACUAGAGAUUAUCAUAUUAAGAGAGCAGGAACAAUUGAAAUCUCUGCACAGCCACCCAGAAGCAGCCACAGGACCCACCAUGACAAGCUGGAGCCAGGAGCCUGGGGAAACAGCACCCACUUCCCCCACCCCCACCUGCUGGCUCUGCUCCAGGUCCUGGAUGCAGCAAGGACAGCAGACCACCCAGCGCAUGAAGAUGAGACGGUCCACUGUGGGGGCAGGGAGCCGCACCAACUCAGACCCCAGCUGCCACAGGGAGCCUGCUGUCUGUGAACCUGAGAUAAGAGCGCCUGGCAAGCUCCAGCUGCCAAGGAUGGCUCAUGGGCAAAACGGAGCAGGUGUGACAGCAUGCUCUGCUCCUGACAGUAUGAUCACCAGAGCCAGGAAUUCAUUGUAAUUUUUAAGCACUUGGCAAUUUUUUUUCUAGUUACAGAGAAUCUGCUUUAGGAAUUCAUCAGUGGAGGAAAAAUUUUGUUUCCAGUCUGGGGAAAAUUAUUUUAAUGAGCCUCUUGGUUACAUGCAAAGGUAACACCAAAACCCUAGUCCGCAUUGAGAACACUCAAAAAAUCAGAGUAAAGUCACAUAAUAAAAAUUAGCACAGGAGUUCCCAUCAUGGUGCAGUGGGUAACGAAUCUGACUGGUAUCCAUGAGAACACGGGUUCAAUACCUGGCCUUGUUCAGUGGGUUAAGGGUCCGACAUUGCCAAGAGCUAUGGUGUAGGUCGAAGACAUGGCUCAGAUAUGGUAUUGCUAUGGUGUAGGCUGGCAUUCGAUCCCUAGCCUGGGAACUUCCAUAUGCAGUGGGUGCUGCCCUAAAACAAAAGACAAAAUAAUAAUAAUAAAUAAAUAACAAAAUGAUUUUUUAAAAAAGCAACCCAAAUUAACACAUAUAUUCAUUAUGCGUUAGGUCUAAGAACUGUAUCUUUAUUAUUCAUUUAAUCCUUCUAUUAAUCCCAUUUAACAGGUGAGAAAGUUGAGGCAGCGAGGCUAAGAAACUUGUUCAAGAUCACACAGCAAGUAAGUAGCAGAGUCUGUUUUUUCUUUUAGUUUUUGGCCACACCCACAGCAUGUGGAAGUUCCCAGCCAGGGAUCAAACCCAUACCACAGCAGCAGCCCUGGGCCACUGCAGUGACAACAAUGGAUCCUUAACCCACUGUGCCACAGGAGAACUCUAAGUGGCAGAGUGUGGAUUCAAACCCAGAAAGUCUGGUUCCAGAAUUGGAAUCCUUCGUGAUCACCCUCAAUCAUUUUUCUGGUUCAAUACUGUUAAGGAAAAAAAAAAAAAAAUCCUCUUCCUUCUGGGAAGAACAACAUCACUGGGGAUUAUUCCAUGCCUGGGAUUGGGGGGCUUGGAUUAUCAAGGCUGUGGUCAAGGGCCCUUCCAUUGGAAAUUAGUAAACUGACCCUACAAAAUUCUGGCACACUGGGAAACAAAGAAUAGUAACCAUAUGGACCCCGUCACUGCACUAAUAUCUUCUGCCUAGACAGUCCCGGCCAAUUCCAGCAGUUGCAAAAUGCUGAGUGAAGCAGGAGAGGUGACCAGUGAUAGAGACAGGUGGAGACUGUGGCAAACCUCUUCCAGGGGGCAACCACUUCUCAGCUCCAAUGGUGAGCCCAGCGUGACCGCAUCUUCAAUUUUGUCAAAAGGUGCAAAAAUCUGGCUCUUGAUGUGAAAAGCUAUCAAUUUUCAAAUGUUGGAGGCAAAUUAAUUUGAAAAUGUAAACGCUGACUCUGACCAAACAGAAUGCAUUAAGGAGGAUGAUGCACUGCACAGGCUCUAUUUCUAUCGUUUAGGUAUGGCAUCCAUUUUCAUUGUCUGGUACCUGACCGCAGUCCAUUCUGAUUGGUCGGUAACAGGCUGGCAUUCAUCUAAUUGGUCAGCACCAAGCUGAAGCGUUCUAAUUGGCUGAUGCUUGUAUUUGGAGGCCGUUCCAUAAAGUAAGUAUGUCUCAGCAUUUUUUCUAAGGAGAAGGGCGGUAGCGUUCAACAGGUUCUCAGACGUGUUGGUGGCCUCUGAGGAGCUAAGAACCAUCACUUUAGAGGUUCCCACUCUUUCCUUUACAUAUUUUCAUUUCUCUUGCUUCCAGGCAGCCAUUGAGGUUAAUUCUGGCAGAUGCUGUACCUGCUCCACUGACAUCUCACUCUUGUCACAACACGGUUUUGCAUCAGUAGCUGGCUGCCAGACCCCAGGGAUCAAUCUUAUUUGAUCAAAGCCAACCCUAGCCACUGCAUUUCUCCUGUCUCUCACGGGUUUAGGAAUGAGCGUGCCUCCCAAUUCAGCUACCAAGAUAUGAGGGAAAGUCUGUUGGGGGCAGAACUGGGGAAAGUGGAACAUUAAAAAGGACACAAGGAAAAAUCAUACUGUGUUCUUUUCUGUUCUGUAGACAUUUUGUGUUGAUCUACACCUGGAUCCCUGGCAGCCAUUUUGCAACCAUGAGGAGAACUAGCCUGCACAACAGAAUUUCCUCAGUGGCACGGACUCAGAAAAUUAACAAAACCUUGAACUAUCCUGUCUCCAAAUUUCUUAAUAUGUGGAAUACUAAAUUUUCCUUGUUGUUUAAAGCCAUUUCAACUUCAGCCCAGAGCGUCACCAAAAUGAUAUGCUAGUUCUAGCUAUAUGAAUAUCUCCUUCCAUUAGUAGCUCAGAGCAUUUCAAAGGACCUUCCUGAAAUUACCUGCUGUGAGUCCCCAGUAACUGAGCUGGGGGCACUUGGACAUCAGCUUUUUGAAUCCCCACACUUCCAGGUGAGGAACCAGGACCAUGAGGUUGGAAUGUACUUGUGAUCACCAGCCAGUGAGUGACAAAGCAUUCUAACUGGUCUGGGACUCCCUCCUGGACACCUCACUCCCAAUAAGCUCACUGUGUGUGUGACAAAAGGAAAGAGAAGUGAAAACUGUUAAGUUAAAAUCUGAGUUGCUGGAGUUCCUGCUGUGGCACAAUAGGAUCAGGAGCAUCUCUGCAGCACCAGGACGCAGGUUCUAUCCCCAGCCUGGCACAGUGGGCUAAAGGGGCCAGCAUUGCCACACCUGUGGCAGGCUGUAACUGCAGCUGGGAUCUGAUCCCUGGCCCAGGAACCCCCUCCCCCGCCAUGCCAUGGGGUGGCCAAAAAAGGAAAAAAAAAUCUGAGUUGCUGCAUCCAGAUUUUUCCCCAACAUAUCUGGGCUCACACCCCACAUGAAGGAAACUAGAAAUGGGAGGUGAUAAAUUAGAGGCUCAGAAAAUCAAAAAAGACUGAAGACUCUGUAAGCAGACCCAUGUUCAAAGAAAAGUUUUGCCAUUCCUUGAAAACUUGGAAAGUAUUUGUACACUCACCUGUUCUUAGUUAUUAUAGUCUGCAUGUAUCAUUUUUAAUUAUUCUUUUGAGUGGUACUUUCUUAUGAUAACCCACCACCAAACACUAUCCUGUUGUACAGAUGGGGCCCUCCUAGGUUCCUGAAAUGUGUGGCUAUCAAAUGUAGAGAAGUGACAUGACAUUUGAGAAGGCAGCAUGUUCAAGAAAGCAGAGACAGCCUUUUUCUUCUUGGAGGCAAGGCUGGUUCUUGCACAUAAUGUAAAAAAUCACAUGGCUCUGCAACACUAUUCGCAAUAGCCAAGACAUGGAAGCAACCUGAGUGUCCAUCGACAGAGGAUAGGAUAAAGACAUGGUAUAUGUAUACAACGGAAUAUUACUCAGUCAUAAAAAAGGAUGGGCUAAUGCCAUUCACAGCAACAUGGAUGGACCUAGAAAUGAUCAUACUAAGUGAAGCAAACCAGAUAGAGGAGAACUAUAACAUGAUAUCAUUUCUAUGUGGAAUCAAAUAUGACACAAAUGAACUUAUCUGGGAACAAAAAUAGACUCCCAGACAGAGAACAGACCCGAGGUUGCCAAGGGAAAGAGAGGUAAGGGAGAGAAGGAAUGGGACCUUGGGAUUAACAGACGCAAACUGUUAUAUACAGGGUUGAUAAACAACAAGAUCUUACUGUACAGCAAAGGGAACUCUACUCAAUAUCUUGUGAUAGGAGUUCCCGUCGUGGCUCAUCAGUAACAAAUCUGACUAGUAUCCAUGAGGACUCAGGUUCAAUCCAUGGCCUUGCUCAGGUGGUUAAGGAUCUGGUGUGGCCAUAAGCUGUGCUGUAGGUUGUAGGCGCAGCCUAGAUCCCAAGUUGCCUUGGCUGUGCCAGAAGCUACAGCUCUGAUUCGACCCUGGCCUGGGAACUUCCGUAUGCCGUGGGUGUGGCCCAUUAAAACAAAAGAAAAAGAAAAGCCUAUUUUCAGAGAAAGGGUGGGGUGAUACCCAAAAAAAUGGAUGUCAGGGAGCCCAAAGACCAGCAAGAGAAUAAACAGAAUUCUCAGAGGCCAGGGAAGCUAGACCUGUUUGUGGCGGGAACUAUAAUCAGAAAACCUGUAGCUGAGCAGGCUCUGCCCCUCCAGGGUCGCCUACCUCCCUCUUGUGUGUAGAAAAGCUGUAGCCUCCUAGGUCUUCCCUGAGUUCCCAAGAGAACAUUUAAUCAGAGAAGUGAGGCGAUGCAGAAAAAAACAAAAGCAAUCAGUGUCCAUGAAUAACUGAAUCACUUCGUUGCACAGCAGAAAUUAUUACAACCUUGUAAAUCAACACUACUUCAAUAAAACUUUAAAAAAUGAAAAAAAAAUAAAAGCAAUCAAGCAAGACCAAAUAAUAAUAGUUGAGCCAUAAAAGAAAAUCAAGGACCUAUAGUUCCUCCUCAAAGACUAGAGAUAACACCCCAGCCAUAUCCUUGAACUGUGUUGCGGAUACUGAAACUCCCACCAGGUGGAAGAAGUUAAGUGUGUGCUGCCCACCAGCACUUAGACUCCCCCCCAGGCUGGUUGGAACUAGAAGCCAGAUGAUGUUGACUCUCACUUACCUCAUCAUCAACCAAUCAGAAAGAUGUGCACCAGCUGAUCACUUCCCUGUGACCCUCUCCUUCACCUGGUCUUUAAAAACACCUCCCUAGGAGUUCCUAUUGUGGCUCAGAGGUA